rnacentral:rRNA from 1 species
GAUGAACGCUGGCGGCGUGCUUAACACAUGCAAGUCGAACGAAGCACUUUAAAACAAUCUUUCGGGUGCGUUUUAUUGUGACUUAGUGGCGGACGGGUGAGUAACGCGUGGGUAACCUGCCUCAUGCAGGGGGAUAACAGUUAGAAAUGACUGCUAAUACCGCAUAAGCGCACAGUACCGCAUGGUACAGUGUGAAAAGAUUUAUCAGCAUGAGAUGGACCCGCGUCUGAUUAGCUAGUUGGUGAGGUAACGGCUCACCAAGGCGACGAUCAGUAGCCGACUUGAGAGAGUGAUCGGCCACAUUGGGACUGAGACACGGCCCAAACUCCUACGGGAGGCAGCAGUGGGGAAUAUUGCACAAUGGGGGAAACCCUGAUG